rnacentral:rRNA from 1 species
GACCUCGGAUCAGGUAGGGAUACCCGCUGAACUUAAGCAUAUCAAUAAGCGGAGGAAAAGAAACCAACAGGGAUUGCCUCAGUAACGGCGAGUGAAGCGGCAACAGCUCAAAUUUGAAAUCUGGCUCUUUCAGGGUCCGAGUUGUAAUUUGUAGAAGAUGCUUUGGGUGUGGCUCCGGUCUAAGUUCCUUGGAACAGGACGUCAUAGAGGGUGAGAAUCCCGUAUGUGACUGGUUGCCUUCGCCCGUGUAAAGCUCUUUCGACGAGUCGAGUUGUUUGGGAAUGCAGCUCAAAAUGGGUGGUAAAUUUCAUCUAAAGCUAGAUAUUGGCCAGAGACCGAUAGCGCACAAGUAGAGUGAUCGAAAGAUGAAAAGCACUUUGGAAAGAGAGUUAAACAGUACGUGAAAUUGUUGAAAGGGAAGCGC